rnacentral:lncRNA from 10 species
GCACAGGCCCUGGGAGCAGCCACCCCUCAGCUUGGCUGAUGCUGCCCUGAUGGAAUCAUCCUGCAGUGCCAGAUCUUCUGACUCUUCAAGAGAAGCCCAAAAUUUGAAUUUUGGUGCCACAUCUCUCUAUUUAAGUAGAUUCAAAUUUAAAACACCACAAGCUAAACAAGCAACAUGCAGGCUGAUUUCAGCCAGGAGCCACCACGUUUGUGACUUUGUAUCCAACCACAGAUGUGAAGCCAUUUGCAAACUGCCAAGUAGCAGACUAAUGGGAAGAAAAGGCUGACCCACAGUGACUGGAAUGAUCUAUCUACCCAGGAAGCUUCUGCAAAUUCUCCCGG